rnacentral:rRNA from 1 species
AACGAACGCUGGCGGCGCGCCUAAUACAUGCAAGUCGAGCGAGAAGACGUAGCAAUACGUUUGUAAAGCGGCGAACGGGUGAGGAAUACAUGGGUAACCUACCCUCGAGUGGGGAAUAACUAGCCGAAAGGUUAGCUAAUACCGCGUACGCUCCUUGGACUUCGGUUCAGGGAGGAAAGCGAUACCGUGGGUAUCGCGCUCUUGGAUGGGCUCAUGUCCUAUCAGCUUGUUGGGAGGUAACGGCUCACCAAGGCUUCGACGGGUAGCUGGUCUGAGAGGACGAUCAGCCACACUGGCACUGCGACACGGGCCAGACUCCUACGGGAGGCAGCAGUAAGGAAUAUUGCGCAAUGGGCGAAAGCCUGACGCAGCGACGCCGCGUGGGGGAGU